CAGAAAUGCAGUUUGUGAAUGAAGAAGACCUGGAGACCUUAGGAGCAGCAGCGCCACUCUUGCCCAUGAUCGAGGAGCUCAAACCCCCCUCUGCCAGUGUAGUCCAGACAGCAAACAAGACGGAUUCUCCUUCCAGGAAAAGAGAUAAACGAAGCCGACAUCUUGGUGCUGACGGCGUCUACUUGGAUGACCUCACAGACAUGGAUCCUGAAGUGGCGGCCCUGUAUUUUCCCAAAAAGUAAAAUUCCUCUUAAUUCCUCACAUCAUUUCCUAUAAUCUGAAUAUCAUUCUGUGUGAGACCAGUUUUCCCUUAUGUUUGAUUAGAAAGUGUGCAAGACAGCUGGGCGCGGUGGCUCACGCCUGUAAUCCCAGCACUUUGGGAGGCUGAGGUGGGCGGAUCACUUGAGGUCAGGAGUUCAAGACCACCCUGGCCAACAUGGUGAAUCCUCAUUCUACUGAAAAUACCAAAAUUGGCUGCACGUGCUGGCACGCACCUGUAAUCCUAGCUACUCGGGAGGCUGAGGCAGGAGAAUUACUUGAACCCAGGAGGCGGAGGUUGCAUUGAGCCGAGAUCAUGCCAUUGCACACCAGCCUGGGCCACAGAGUGAGACUCCAUCUCAAAAAAAAA
rnacentral:sRNA from 1 species